rnacentral:rRNA from 1 species
UGAGCAAUCUGCCCUUCUCAUCGGAAUAAGCGUUGGAAACGACGUCUAAUGCCGAAUACGACCUCCUUUCGCAUGAUCGGAGGUGGAAAGCUCCGGCGGAGAAGGAUGAGCUCGCGGCCUAUCAGCUAGUUGGUGUGGGUAAUGGCCCACCAAGGCGACGACGGGUAGCCGGCCUGAGGAGGGCGAUCGGCCACACUGGGGACUGAGACACGGCCCAGACUCCGUAGGAG